AAGAAAACAGAGCCACAGUCCAGAUGUAUUUGCACUGGGAGAAAUAACCUGGAGAUUUACAUCAAGCUGAGGACAUCACACUGUGCUGUGAGCAGGCUGGUGAGGGUCUCAUCAGA